rnacentral:rRNA from 1 species
GUCGAACGCGUUGGCCCAAUUGAUUGAUGGUGCUUGCACCUGAUUGAUUUUGGUCGCCAACGAGUGGCGGACGGGUGAGUAACACGUAGGUAACCUGCCCAGAAGCGGGGGACAACAUUUGGAAACAGAUGCUAAUACCGCAUAACAGCGUUGUUCGCAUGAACAACGCUUAAAAGAUGGCUUCUCGCUAUCACUUCUGGAUGGACCUGCGGUGCAUUAGCUUGUUGGUGGGGUAACGGCCUACCAAGGCGAUGAUGCAUAGCCGAGUUGAGAGACUGAUCGGNCACAAUGGGACUGAGACACGGCCCAUACUCCUACGGGAGGCAGCAGUAGGGAAUCUUCCACAAUGGGCGCAAGCCUGAUGGAGCAACACCGCGUGAGUGAAGAAGGGUUUCGGCUCGUAAAGCUCUGUAGUUAAAGAAGAACACGUAUGAGAGUAACUGUUCAUACGUUGACGGUAUUUAACCAGAAAGUCACGGCUAACUACGUGCCAGCAGCCGCGGUAAUACGUAGGUGGCAAGCGUUAUCCGGAUUUAUUGGGCGUAAAGAGAGUGCAGGCGGUUUUCUAAGUCUGAUGUGAAAGCCUUCGGCUUAACCGGAGAAGUGCAUCGGAAACUGGAUAACUUGAGUGCAGAAGAGGGUAGUGGAACUCCAUGUGUAGCGGUGGAAUGCGUAGAUAUAUGGAAGAACACCAGUGGCGAAGGCGGCUACCUGGUCU